rnacentral:rRNA from 1 species
UGGGGAAUAUUGCGCAAUGGGGGAAACCCUGACGCAGCAACGCCGCGUGAAUGAUGAAGGCCUUCGGGUUGUAAAGUUCUGUCUUCUGGGACGAUAAUGACGGUACCAGAGGAGGAAGCCACGGCUAACUACGUGCCAGCAGCCGCGGUAAUACGUAGGUGGCAAGCGUUGUCCGGAUUUACUGGGCGUAAAGGAUGCGUAGGCGGAUAUUUAAGUCAGAUGUGAAAUACCCGAGCUUAACUUGGGUGCUGCAUUUGAAACUGGGUGUCUAGAGUGCAGGAGAGGUAAGUGGAAUUCCUAGUGUAGCGGUGAAAUGCGUAGAGAUUAGGAAGAACACCAGUGGCGAAGGCGACUUACUGGACUGUAACUGACGCUGAGGCAUGAAAGCGUGGGGAGCAAACA